rnacentral:rRNA from 1 species
AGUUUCCGUAGGUGAACUUGCGGAGGGAUCAUUACAGUAUUCUUUUGCCAGCGCUUAACUGCGCGGCGAAAAACCUUACACACAGUGUCUUUUUGAUACAGAACUCUUGUUUUGGUUUGGCCUAGAGAUAGGUUGGGCCAGAGGUUUAACAAAACACAAUUUAAUUAUUUUUCCAGUUAGUCAAAUUUUGAAUUAAUCUUCAAAACUUUCAACAACGGAUCUCUUGGUUCUCGCAUCGAUGAAGAACGCAGCGAAAUGCGAUAAGUAAUAUGAAUUGCAGAUUGUGGUGAAUCAUAGAAUCUUUGAACGCACAUUGCGCCCUCUGGUAUUCCAGAGGGCAUGCCUGUUUGAGCGUCAUUUCUCUCUCAAACCCCCGGGUUUGGUAUAGAGUGAUACUCUUAGUCGGAAUAGGCGUUUGCUUGAAAAGUAUUGGCAUGGGUAGUACUAGAUAGUGCUGUCGACCUCUCAAUGUAUUAGGUUUAUCCAACUCGUUGAAUGGUGUGGCGGGAUAUUUCUGGUAUUGUUGGCCCAGGCCUUACAACAACCAAACUAAGUUGGCCUCAAAUCAUGUUGGAAUACCCGCUGAACUUAAGCAUAUCAAUAAGCGGAGGAA